rnacentral:rRNA from 1 species
UACGAGGGAUGCAAGCGUUAUCCGGAAUUAUUGGGCGUAAAGCGUCCGCAGGUGGCUUUGUAAGUCUGUCGUUAAAGCGUGGAGCUCAACUCCAUAUCGGCGAUGGAAACUACAAGACUAGAGUUUGGUAGGGGUCACGGGAAUUCCUAGUGUAGCGGUGAAAUGCGUAGAUAUUAGGAAGAACACCAGCGGCGAAAGCGCGUGACUGGGCCAAUACUGACACUCAUGGACGAAAGCUAGGGGAGCGAAAGGG